GAUGAACGCUAGCGGGAGGCCUAACACAUGCAAGCCGAGCGGUAGAGUUCCUUCGGGAACUUGAGAGCGGCGUACGGGUGCGUAACACGUGUGCAACCUACCUUUAUCUGGGGGAUAGCCUUUCGAAAGGAAGAUUAAUACCCCAUAAUAUAAUGAUUGGCAUCAAUUAUUAUGGAAAACUCGGGUGGAUAGAGAUGGGCACGCGCAAGAUUAGAUAGUUGGUGAGGUAACGGCUCACCAAGUCAAUGAUCUUUAGGGGUCCUGAGAGGGAGAUCCCCCACACUGGGACUGAGACACGGGCCAGACUCCUACGGGAGGCAGCAGUGAGGAAUAGUGGACAAUGGGUGAAAGCCUGAUCCAGCCAUCCCGCGUGAAGGAUGACGGUCCUAUGGAUUGUAAACUUCUUUUGUACAGGGAUAAACCUACUCUCGUGAGGGUAGCUGAAGGUACUGUACGAAUAAGCACCGGCUAACUACGUG
rnacentral:rRNA from 1 species